rnacentral:rRNA from 1 species
UACGUAGGGGGCAAGCGUUGUCCGGAAUCAUUGGGCGUAAAGCGCGCGUAGGCGGCCCUGUAAGUCCGCUGUAAAAGUCAAAGGCUCAACCUUUGAAUGUCAGUGGAUACUGCCGGGCUAGAGUCCGGAAGAGGCGAGUGGAACUCCUGGUGUAGCGGUGGAAUGCGUAGAGAUCCGGAAGAACACCGGUGGCGAAGGCGGCCUGCUGGGCAGUUGCUGACGCUGAGGCGCGACAGCGUGGGGAGCAAACAGG